UGGUCAGGUAGAGAAUACCAAGGCGAUCGGGUGAACUGUGGUUAAGGAACUCGGCAAAUUGCCCCUGUAACUUCGGGAGAAGGGGGACCUCUGCUGGUGAUGGGCUUUACGUUCUGAGCUGGUGGGGGUCGCAGUGGCCAGGGGGAAGCGACUGUUUACUAAAAACACAGGUCCGUGCGAAGUCGUAAGACGAUGUAUACGGACUGACGCCUGCCCGGUGCCGGAACGUUAAGGGGACCGCUUAGCCAGCUUCGGUUGGCGAAGGUGAGAACUUAAGCGCCGGUAAACGGCGGUGGUAACUAUAACCAUCCUAAGGUAUCGAAAUUCCUUGUCGGGUAAGUUCCGACCUGCACGAAUGGCGUAACGACUUCCCCGCUGUCUCAACCACAGACCCGGCGAAAUUGCACUACGAGUAAAGAUGCUCGUUUCGCGCAGCAGGACGGAAAGACCCCGGGACCUUCACUACAGCUUGACAUUGGCGUUUGGAACGUCUUGUGUAGGAUAGGUGGGAGACUAGGAAGCUGUCACGCUAGUGAUGGUGGAGUCAUUGGUGAAAUACCACUCUGGUCGUUUUGAACGUCUAACUCUGGUCCGUGAUCCGGAUCGGGGACAGUGUCUGGUGGGUAGUUUAACUGGGGCGGUUGCCUCCUAAAGAGUAACGGAGGCGCCCAAAGGUUCCCUCAGCCUGGUUGGCAAUCAGGUGUUGAGUGUAAGUGCACAAGGGAGCUUGACUGUGAGACUGACAGGUCGAGCAGGAGCGAAAGCUGGGACUAGUGAUCCGGCAUCGGCGUGUGGAAGCGGUGUCGCUCAACGGCUAAAAGGUACCCCGGGGAUAACAGGCUGAUCUUCCCCAAGAGUCCAUAUCGACGGGAUGGUUUGGCACCUCGAUGUCGGCUCGUCGCAUCCUGGGGCUGGAGUAGGUCCCAAGGGUUGGGCUGUUCGCCCAUUAAAGCGGUACGCGAGCUGGGUUUAGAACGUCGCGAGACAGUUCGGUCCCUAUCCGCUGCGCGCGCAGGAGACUUGAAGGGGGCUGUCCCUAGUACGAGAGGACCGGGACGGACGAACCUCUGGUGUGCCAGUUGUACCGCCAGGUGCACGGCUGGUUGGCUACGUUCGGAAGUGAUAACCGCUGAAAGCAUCUAAGCGGGAAGCUCGCCUUGAGAUGAGGUCUCCCACCCCGUGAGGGGGUAAGGCUCCCGGUAGAUCACCGGGUUGAUAGGCCGGAGGUGGAAGCACGGUAACGUGUGGAGCUGACCGGUACUAAUAGGCCGAGGACUUGACCAG
rnacentral:rRNA from 1 species